UGUUUAAAAAUUCAUUCAUUUCUAGUGUUAAAAACUGGCAUGGCUGAUAGAAUAACCAAAUAGUGGCAUGUGGUUUACCUGUGUGUAUCUUGCUGGUGCAUAGGGACCAGUUGUUAAUAAUAGAAAUGGAUAAAAGUUUAAACU
rfam:Gossypium raimondii Chr11_contig_1505, whole genome shotgun sequence.